GCGUGUGACAAGGAUAGGAGGGAUACAAAUCUUGGAACAGUACAGAAAUAGAAAAUAAUCAAAUUAUGGAGGAACUCAGAAAGAGUAUUGAAGAGAAAGAAAAAUUAAUAAUGAAACAAUUUAUAAGGAUUAAAGAACUAGAAAACGAAACGAUGCUUUUAAAACAGGAAAAAGAUGCAUUAUUCUGUGAUAUUAAUAAACUUAAAUUUGAACUUGAAAUGAGCGAAAUUAAGAGGCUCAAGAAUACUAGCUUGGCCAAAAAACCGGUAGGUAGCCCGCCAUGCGACUCAGGAUCAGUUGUCAAGCAAGCGAGAUCGUGUUCUGUAACAACUAACCCUGAUUUCAACACCAAAAUACUUGUCCGCCAGAGGUCUUGCAGCGGAAACUUAGGGGAUAAAAAAGCGCCAUCUAGGAGAAUAGAUGAAGAAGCGUUAAAACGAACUCGUAUCAGUAGUGCACAGUACGAACUUUCCCAGGACUUGCAAGAUAAGCAAGUGGAAAUGUUGGAACGGAAAUAUGGAGGAGACAACGCCCGAAAAGCCGCCUUGACCAUUCAGCGUGCUUUUCGUAAAUACUGUAUAACUAAACGGUUCCAGCAGCUUGCGUAUUCUAUAAAAAGAGAAAGACGGCUUUCUCGACGAUUCGCUAUUCCGGAUUCUGAAGGAAAAGAUUGUCUGUUCAAUGUAGCCGAUGAUGACACGUUUUAUGGAAAAAACAGCAACUUAACAAAUAGCCUUCGUUUUCCUCAUUCCACUGCCUACGUAGACACUGUGCUAAAGUCCAAUCUCUCUACUUUGUUUCGCGACUUUGAUGAAAAUAAGUUUUCUCCAUCUGAUUGCCAGUUAAGAUAUCCUGUUACUAAAGGCCAAAGAGUUUGCGUACGUAGUUACUUAAUGGAAUCUCAUUUUUCGAACAAAACUGUAACUUCUAAUUCGCCUAGUUGUUUAGAGAAUGCGACACCCUCUGGUGAUACAUUAAAUCACGUAACUGUUUGCGAUCCUGACUUCUGUUCUGUUCCUGUAACGGUAGAUGAUGGUGGUCGGUGUUAUACGCCCACAAUGAAUGUAAAACCUUCUCUUUCUGUUCCUCGUCACCCAGCAUGGACAGCAGUGCCACCUAAUGGACGAAAACAAUACAUUAAUUCAAAUAAAGGAUCAGUUUUGUUUCUCAGUCCUAGUCAAUCUGAUGUAUCUCAUGAAAAUUAUGCACUUAGGUAUUCGCUUGCUUCAGAAGAAACCACCAUAAGCAGCAGUGGAACAAGAGACUCUAUUGUAUAUUCCAUAUCUGAAGAACAACAAGUUUGCCAGACUUCUUCAGCCAGACAGACUGUUAAUAUCUCUGUGACAUGUACCUCUCAGCCAGAUCCCUGCAAACUUUGGUGGACGACAGUUAAAGCUAGUGAUGAUCUGGAUCAAAGAAAGUCCAUGCCACUUUGUGUAGAGCAAAAGAAACUCCCAAAUCAAGAUUUAAGAAUGAUUUCCUCCAUCCCAGGGCAAGCAGUGAAACCUCGCAACAAGCUCCCUGAAAAGUCCUACCAAGUUCCAUUGUUUAAUCAUAAAUCAAGAAAAUUUGGAGUUGAUAAUAAGUCAGCAACAGAAUUGGACAGUAAUUCAGAACAUGCUGAGAAAACUAAAAAAUCUCACAUGAAAUUCAGUUUCGAAGCUUCCCCAGCAUUGAAAAAAGUUCUUGUGGCUGAACAAGCAACAUCUGGUGGACAGGUAGAUGAUAAAAGAUUAAGCAACAUCUCAGAAAAUAGUGAAGACAGCCUGGAAAGUGGAAGUUAUUCAACAACUCCUCCUGGUACAUCCUCUGGACAUAGCUACUCAGACUGUUGUAGAGUUCAUAAUAUGACCUCAGCGUCAUCACCACAUAUACUACAAACACCAGAAAUACAAAGAAAACGCCAGUACAGAGUAGGUUUGAACCUUUUCAACAAAAAACCAGAAAAGGGGAUUAAUUACCUCAUUAAAAGGGGCUUCUUGGAAGCAACUCCUAAGGCUGUUGCACGGUUUCUAAUAUCAAGGAAAGGUCUCAGUAGGCAGAAUAUUGGAGAAUACUUGGGAAAUCUUCAAAGUCAUUUCAUCUCGGCAGUGUUGAAGAGUUAUGUGGAAGAAAUUGAUCUCGCAGGGAUGCAAGUUGAUGUCGCUCUUCGGAAAUACCAAACCUUUUUCAGGAUGCCAGGUGAAGCCCAGAAAAUUGAGAGAUUAAUAGAAGUGUUCAGCCACAGGUAUUCAGACUGCAAUCGGGAUAUAGUGACCAAAUUUCACAAUCCUGACACAGUCUUUGUUCUUGCUUUUGCUAUCAUUAUGUUAAACACAGAUCUACAUACGCCCAACCUGAAAGCAGAUAAAAGGAUGAAACUGGACGAUUUCAUAAAGAACUUAAAAGGAAUUGAUGAUGGCCAUGACCUAGAUAGAGACAUGCUAUCUGGAAUCUAUGAAAGAAUCAAAGCUAGUGAAUUUAAAACUGGAUCUGACCAUGUGACACAAGUAAUGAAGGUUCAACAGACAAUUGUUGGCAAGAAACCAAACCUAGCACAGCCUCACAGAAGGUUGGUCUGUUAUUGUCGUCUUUAUGAAGUUUAUGACAUAACCAAGAAAGAAAGGUCUGGAAUCCAUCAGCGUGAAGUGUUCCUGUUUAAUGAUACUCUCCUGGUCUCUAAAAUCUUUAGUAAGAAGAAAAUGAGUAUUACUUAUACGUUCCGGCAAUCUUUUCCACUGUGUGGAGUUAACGUCUUGCUUUUUGAAGCUCCACAUUAUUCACAUGGGAUUAGGCUUACACGUAGAGUUGACAGCAAGGUUUUAAUUACUUUCAAUGCAAGAAACAUGCACGACCGAACUAAAUUUGUAGAUGAUUUGAAAGAAUCCAUUCUAGAGAUGGAUGAAAUGGAGAACCUUCGGAUAGAAGCAGAACUAGAAAAACAGAAAUCUCUGAGAACGAGAGUUACAGAGAACAGAGACUCUGGUGUCGUAGAUAUAGAGGUUCUUCCCUCCACUAGUCAAGAAAGAAACAGACUCCACCCCGAUGGACAGUCUUCCAACAUAAAACGUUCUUCCCUGUCUAACUCUCUCCUUGACCUUCAUGAUCCUCAAAUGAACAAGCCUGUUCGAAGAGGUAGUGCAGGCUCUUUAGAUAGCGGAAUGUCGGUAUCCUUUCAGUCGUCAGCAACGAGCACCGAAAGUCAGGAUUCCUCGUCUCAAGCAGUGUCUUGCAGCGGGACCUGUGAGAUUAGGAACGUUUUAGAAACUACUGUCACACAAGCAACACAGAGUGGAAAGUCUACCAAUCAGCAGAGCUUUCUUGGUGGAUUGUUCGGGAAGAAGAGUAAGACACAUAGCAAGGCAAACAUAGUGAAAAUUUCCGAGAUUACUGAUGUUUAAAAGGUGUUUAUAUCGUACGAAAUGAACGAAGGAGCAUCAAACCUAAUUGUUACUGAAACUGAGUUGGCAGUGGUGGCUCCAAGCGUAAGCUAGAGAACUGCAUACUCGGGGCCUCGCGCUAUUCCAAACAACUAGUAUUUAUUUUGUUUUGACUAUUAUUUAUAACAACAGACACCUAAUUGGAGCUUUUAUUUUUAAAUUGUGUUUUGGGAACUAGUCCCCCGUAAUCCCCCCCGCUGGCACACAGCUUUAUUAGUGGACUUUGUGAAGUGAUAACCCUGUUGUUAACUCCGGCACUGUAUGCCCUUCAGUGGCACAGCGGCACGUCUGCGGACUUACAACGCUAGAAACCGGGUUUCGAUACCCAUAGUGGGCAGAGCACAGAUAGCCCAUUGUGUAGCUUUGUACUUAACUUCAAACAAACAAACAAACCGGAACUGUUAGCUUGUACUAUAGUCAAAUGUAUCCCAUCAUCCAAAGCGGAAGGCAAGAGUAAAACAUGAACAGAUCUUCAAAUGAAAACAAAAAUGUAAAAAAGAACAACCUUAACAAUUCUUUCCUGAAUAUUUUUAAACCAACAGAAACUAGUAGCUAUUGAGAACAGAAAUUCACAAAGAAACAUUCUACUUACAGAGUGUAAUUCAUAUAAAGGUCGGGAACAUUCUACUUACAGAGUGUAAUUCAUAUAAAGGUCGGGAACAUUCUACUUACAGAGUGUAAUUCAUAUAAAGGUCAGGUGUGUUAUAUGAAGAAGAUUUUGAAGCUUCACCAUAUUGUGUAAAAUUACAAUCCAUACAUACCAACACAUCCGGUAGUACUUCACCUUACGCACGUGCAUAUAUAAAAUGGCUGGCUGUUAAGUACAGUGUACACUUUUCUUGAGCUUUCCAUAAUAUAUCUAAUAAUGUAUGAGAAUGACGUUUUUACAGCACCGGGGUCGCGGGUUCGAAUCCCCGUCACCGAACAUCCUCGCCCUUUCAGUCGUGGGAGCGUUAUAUAGUGAUGGUCGAUCUCAUUAUUCAUUGGUAAAAGAAAAUCCCAAGAGUUGCCGAUGGGUGUUGUUGACUAACUGUCUUCCCUCUAGUCCAGGGGUCCCCAAACUACAGGCCGCAUCCGGCCCGUCAAUAGUUUAUUAAAGUAAUAAUAUAAUAUUUUAAUAUUAUAAAAACAAAAAUAAAACAUAAUUGAGCAAAAGCCAAUCUGAUCAUGUAUGCAUCCCUACUUAAUUUUACCACGACCCCUCCGGCCCGCGAAGCCUAUACCUCCCGGCCCUUGUCCCAAAAGGGUUGGUGACCCCUGCUCUACUCUAUCACUGCUAAAUUAAGGACAGCUAGCGCAGAUAGCCUUCGCGUGGCUUUGCGCGAAAUUCAAACGAAAUUUACAGCUCCCGUUACAACAGUUCGAUCACACAGAAAUCCAUAGGCCUAACAUUUGUCGACCGUAUGUCUUCAAAUAGAAUAGUAUGAAUACUUGUUUCAUUCUCCAGCUACUUGAGGUACGCGAUGGUUUAACUGGACCUUUGUCGUUUUUCCAAUCAGAAAUCCUUCUUGAUUAUGUUGUGUAUUUUUUCCUGGGGCAUGUGGAAGGCUUUUGCCUCUGACUUUUCUGUUCGUGGACUCUCAUCUAAUACAAGACGCUGCACUUUGCUUACCAUAGCUGCAAUAUAAUAUGUUUCGGGGCUUUUUUUGGAUAGUCCUGGUACCCAAAGUUGAUCCAUAUUAUUUCAUUUUCCAAUGCCAUUAUUAAAUGGUAUGUUCAUCUUUGAAAUUCUAAAGCCCUGACCUGAUAACCCUGAACUUAGUGUAUCAUUAUAUAUUUUUUUCGUCGAAAAAGCGAUCAAUUUUCAGUGGCAUCAAACUACCAUGCAUCGCCAAACAGUGUUAAAUGUAGUUCUAAUACAUCCGUUUUACCGCGACUUUAUAUCGGCUGUGGUUGUCACGUAACAUUUUAAUAUAACACGUUCAACCCUGUAUUCGUGUAAUAUGAAGUCAAACUUCAGUGUUUGUUUUUGUAGCAGUUAAAAGGUUUCGAACUAUGACUUACCGGCAUCAACAAGCGGGUUAAUCCCUUAGUUUUGUUGGUACAGGAUUUGCAUGGCCUAGAAGAUUUAAAAUUGGGAUUACUAAAGAAAACCUGGCGCCCAUCGUUUGGCGGUUAUAACCCCCUGAAAUAAGGCCCGAAGAUUGUCUCUGUUUGUGAGAGUGUGAUAUUAUAGUAAUUAAUUCUAAGAAACCAUGAGUGCAACCUAACGAUAUGUUCUGAUGUGUCAACCACACUACAUCCCCCCAUAUCCAGUGCCUACGAGGCCUUUUGCCCAAUACCGGGCCUCGUCAGGCCGGCUGUGAUACGACAGACAUAAUAGUGGUAUACAUAUGUCAUCCGUUUUUACAAGUGUUAAGGUGUGAACCAGAUUAAGCAAGUGAUUUGUAAUUAUUAUCAGUUUUAUAGUUUUGAAAACUGCCUUACUAGCAGGUGCUAGUACGUUAACUCUUAGCUCAGCUGGUAGAGCACUCGCUUGCACUGUAAGCGGUUCCGAGUUCAAAUCCUUUUUGCGAGAGACAAAAAUUGAAUUUGUACUCUGUGAAAGUUUAACAAACAAGGAACGGCAGCAAAGAUUUUUACAAAACGUGCGAUUUAACGGCUCCGCAAGAUAAUUUAUACAGACAAAAAUACGCACGUUUCGGCAAAUAGGAUUAGUUGUCGGAUUUUUGUGUAAAUGAUAUAGUCUUAGUGUUUGUAAUUUCCAAGAUGAGUUUAUAUCAACAGAACACACUACUGUUCUAUAGUUGCGGUGUUUUACGUGUGUUAACAGUCUAGGAAAAUAGAAAUUAUUCGUAUGUGUAAGUGUAUGUAAUCAAAUUAAAUAUAUUAAGUAUUCAUUGUAUGAAAUAUGCAAUUAUUACAUGGUAACCCGGUUAACUAAUUAGAAGCGUUGAAUAUUGCAAAUGCUGUAUUAGGAAAUUAGUGAAAUUCGAAUACAGCAUGUAGGCUUACUGUUCACAUCGUACUCGUUGCUUCGAUUUUUCAAAGUCUAUAGCAAUGGCGGAUACAAAGGGAGGGUUGAGAUAUUACCCACCACUUCCCGAUGGACUACCAAACAAAAGGCACCCUUAACCCUAAUAACGCGAAUUAUUUCCAAGGUUUCAUCACCCUUACCAAAAAUCCUAGAUACGCUCGUGUUAUUAUCCUCCAUGAUGAUUUAUAGUGACUUUUAUGUAUAAUUAAAUAUGAGUAAUGAUAUAGCUUCUGUGUUACAUUUAAGUUGAUAGUUGAACAACGUAGUUAAUGGUGUGUAACUCAUUUUAUUACCCUGUGUAUUGUGCAAUGAAAGUUAUGUACGUGCUGGUACCAAUAUGUAUUGUUAGGCACUUGACUGUCGCUUUUCACUUACCAUGUUUGCUAGAAUGAGAAACAUAAUAACAUACUCAUAUAAGUCGUGUUUAUUUAGGUUUACUUCAUAACCACGAGGUGGCGUGUAAGUAUCGAUAUGUAUGUAUUGUUAGGAAAGUCACCGUCGCUUUUCAGUUCAAUAAGAAACAUAUUAACAUUUUCACAAAGGUCGUAUUUAAGUUUAGCUAGUUAUCACGAGAUGGCGUAGUAGACAUAACCAGAAAGCGUGUUCUUGUACUGUUUUUUUUUUUUUUCUUAUGAAGUAUUCUUAAGUUACCGACUUGUUUUCAUACUGUUCACUACUGGUAGAGUUCAUAUACUACAUUUUAUGAUACUGAGUAAUUUUAUGUAAAUAAAUGGCCGAACAAAAUUGGGUGAAAUCAGUCGUUUUUUUAACUAAAAUACCUAGGUAAACCCAGCAGUAAUUAGCAGGAUAUUACAAUAUUGAUGGUAUUUUUUGUGUUAUUCGAAUUGGAGUACAAAUGAUUUAUAAAAAUGUGUUCUGAAAACUGAUGGUGUCUGAAUAUGAGUCUUUUAGAUAAGUCUAGCGAUAACUAAAAAAAUGAAAAAACACGAUUAUAACAAAAUAAUUUUGAUGGGAAGAUAUAGGAUUAUCGUUGUUUUUAACGUCGUAGAGACUAACAUUACAAUAGCGAACUUGGGUUACUGACUAACUAAUCUGUAGAGGGGUGGGAGCUACCAUUAAAGUAAUCAAACGCAUUCCUAGUUUCGUUGUUUUAGCGCGUGAAAUAGAAUCUUGCUCUUAGAAGAUUUAAAGCUUACCCAUAAGGCCCGAAAAGCUCGUAAUUAGGUGCUGUUAUUCAUUUAUAUGAAACAUCGUUUCAUAUUCUUAUCACCACGAGGAGAGCACGUUUUAAAGGAAAUGUGUUCUAGAAUAAUUCCAUUCUCUUCCCCCUUCCCCAAUAUUUUCUGGGGUGAUCCAAAUGAUGAUGACAAAAACCUUGUCGAAACGUUGUACAUUUGCUGUUGUGUUAAACUUACAUCAAAUUUUUUCUUCAUUACCCAUUCAAGCCGUCUCCAACCAUUAUAAAUGUAUGGUAAUGUUUUAAAAAUUCUAAUGAGUUGAGGUUUGUUUUUCGAUGUGAUUGUAAAAUACUGAAAUGUUAAUUAUAUAGAUGGACUUCCUUUCUGUAA
rnacentral:misc_RNA from 1 species